GCGGGACCCCAGCCACGGGCUACAUCAAAGGCUGCCUGCCCAACUACAACAGCGGCAUCAAGGGGCCCCUCACGCUCACCGUGGGGCGCGGGCUGUACCUGCGGCUCAACACCUCGCGAUGCAACGCCACGGAGAAGUGCAACACCGCUCUGCUGGCUGUGCCCCAGGAGAACAGCACCUUGAAUGGGCUGCAGUGCCCGGCCUGCCUGGCUCGGAAGGCCAGGGCCUGCACCGGCCAAGCCAUCCUCUGCACCGGGGAGGAGACCUACUGCAUCGACUUCACUGGGGAGAUCAUUAAAGGAUCAAGCCUUUCCCCGUUCGCUGCCAAGGGCUGCGCCUCGGCGUCUGCGCAGGACAUUGAAUCCGGAACCUUCCUGACAGCCGGGAACUCCAGAUACCUCUUUGGUCAGGCGACCCGGCCA